rnacentral:rRNA from 1 species
GACGAAUGCUGGCGGCGUGCUUAACACAUGCAAGUCGAACGGAAAGGCCCUGCUUUUGUGGGGUGCUCGAGUGGCGAACGGGUGAGUAACACGUGAGUAACCUGCCCUUGACUUUGGGAUAACUUCAGGAAACUGGGGCUAAUACCGGAUAGGAGCUCCUGCUGCAUGGUGGGGGUUGGAAAGUUUCGGCGGUUGGGGAUGGACUCGCGGCUUAUCAGCUUGUUGGUGGGGUAGUGGCUUACCAAGGCUUUGACGGGUAGCCGGCCUGAGAGGGUGACCGGCCACAUUGGGACUGGGAUACGGCCCAGACUCCUACGGGAGGCAGCAGUGGGGAAUAUUGCACAAUGGGCGGAAGCCUGAUGCAGCAACGCCGCGUGCGGGAUGACGGCCUUCGGGUUGUAAACCGCUUUCGCCUGUGACGAAGCGUGAGUGACGGUAAUGGGUAAAGAAGCACCGGCUAACUACGUG